UUAAUAUCAUUUUUAUAAAAGGGAGAUCCAGUUCAAUUCAUGAAAUAUCAUCGAUAGUUAAAGCUUCGAUAUUGACAUAUAUUAUAGUAAAAGAUCCAUGUUGAAAUAUAGCAUGCGAGGUAGUUAAUUUUGAAAAUGAAAAAUCAAUAGAAAUGCAGGUUUAACUGCAAUUUGGGGAUUAAUGCUUUAUUAUAGAUAUAAAAUGAACAUUAAAAUGAUACUCAUUCCAUACAAAUGAUCCGAUUAUAAUCAAAUCUUUUGAUAUUUCAUUGAUCAGUUAUGUAAUAUUUUUUUCAUCCCUCUGGCUACUGGUGAACCCGAUUACAGAACAACGGAACUACAACAGAUAUUUGGCACUGUUUAAGGGGCAAACAGAAAAAUAUCGACACAUACGCGUAGUUUUUACCGGCAAGGAGGGAGCCGGGAAGACUACGCUAUGUCUCCGUCUUAGGAAUAAAAAUGUCAACCUCCAACUUCGCCAACCAACAGAAGGGGCUGUUUUACACCCCGUAUGGUUCUCCAUCAAUUGGAAAUCCAAGACGUGGAAACACACUGAUGGGCAAUCCCUUGAUGAAGUGGUUAAAGCACGCAUGGGUGUAUUGAUGGAGAUAAUGAAAUCGUCAGGUAAAG